ensembl:miRNA MIR9861 microRNA mir-9861
UUAAUUUUCUUUUAAUCAAGGUCGGAUGAAGUAAAUUGGUGCGGUUCUGCAGCCCUUCAUUUUCCGUCUUUGCAGUGAUGCAAAACAAA